UACGUAGGCAGCGAGCGUUGUUCGGAAUUACUGGGCGUAAAGAGUGUGUAGGCGGUGCUCUAAGUUCGGUGUGAAAUCUCCUGCUUAACUGGGAGGGUGCGCCGGAAACUGGAGUGCUCGAACGUGGGAGAGGAAAGCGGAAUUCCUGGUGUAGCGGUGAAAUGCGUAGAUAUCAGGAGGAACACCUGCGGUGUAGACGGCUUUCUGGACCAUUGUUGACGCUGAGACACGAAAGCGUGGGUAGCAAACAGG
rnacentral:rRNA from 1 species